rnacentral:pre_miRNA from 1 species
UUUGUGAUUGGAGAGGAGACAGGGAUGAGGCAGAGCAUGGGAUGGGGCUAUCAACAGAUGUAGAUUAUCCAUCCCCCUUUCGGUCUUGAACUGUAAUAGUAGCAUAACAUCCUCUUGUGGUAUUGUUGUUUGGACACAAAGAGAUGAUGAGUUGUGAGUUGUGAGAGAUGGCUGGUGUUGUUGCUCCCUCCCCUGCACUGCCUCUUCCCUGGCUCCCCUGCACACCUCUCUCU